CAUCCCUUCGCCCUGCCCCCUUGCCACACCCCACCGCAGCUCACCCCUUAACCACUCCCCCUUACCCCGCCCCCGCCGCAGCCCUCCCCUUUACCUCGCUCCUCGCUCCCCGCCUCCGCCCAUCCCGGCCCUGUUCCCUCCUCGCCGCCACAGCCCACCGCCCGGAGACCCCGAACGCCCGGGUCUCCCGCCGCUAUCCCGAGGCCGGAAGCGGAAGUGCGGCCGGGGAGCAGCCGCGGGUCUGGCACCAGGGCUGCGAGUCCGGUCUUCCCGGCCGGUGCGCGCCGGAACCCGCUUGAGGAGCGGGACUCGAUGCGCCGCGGAGAUCUUGGGUCCGAUCCAGGAGGGAGGGGCUGGACCUCGGGCAGCCCCGGGUCACGCCGACAUCCCCCUGUCCCUCACGCGAGCCCCAGUCCUUCCCUGGGGCCUCAGGCUGUUCCUCAGGCAAGAAAAGCAUCUCUCCAUUUCAAGUUUGUAUGGACACCAGCCUCAAGGUUCACCUGCCCUCAGGGAUCCGUGGAUUUCUGUGUGAUCAGGGCUCGGCCUGAGCGCGCUGUGCCGACCAGAGGAGGAGCGUCCGGGUUCUUCUGCUCCCAUUGUCUGGGGAAAUUCCUGUCUGAGUCACAGGAUGGCGGCCGUGGUUCUGCCCCCCACUUGUGCUCAGCCUUCCCUGUACUCAGCCUCUCCUCGGAACAGACGCACGGAGGAGGAAGGGUUGGCUAA
rnacentral:lncRNA from 1 species